UACGGAGGGUGCAAGCGUUAUCCGGAUUCACUGGGUUUAAAGGGAGCGUAGGUGGGUUGGUAAGUCAGCGGUGAAAUCCCCGAGCUUAACUUGGGAACUGCCAUUGAUACUACCAGUCUUGAAUACUGUGGAGGUAAGCGGAAUAUAUCAUGUAGCGGUGAAAUGCUUAGAUAUGAUAUAGAACACCAAUAGCGAAGGCAGCUUACUACGCAGUUAUUGACACUGAGGCUCGAAAGCGUGGGGAUCAAACAGG
rnacentral:rRNA from 1 species